AUCCCUGGGUCAGGAAGAUCUCAUGGAGAAGGAAAUAGCAACCCACUCCAGUAUUCUUGCGUGGGAAAUCUCCUGGGCAGAGGAGCCUGGUGGACCCCAGUCCUUGUGGUUGCAGAGUAGGACAUGACUGAGUGACU